GAUGAACGCUGGCGGCGUGCCUAAUACAUGCAAGUCGAGCGAACAGACGAGGAGCUUGCUCCUCUGACGUUAGCGGCGGACGGGUGAGUAACACGUGGAUAACCUACCUAUAAGACUGGGAUAACUUCGGGAAACCGGAGCUAAUACCGGAUAACAUGUUGAACCGCAUGGUUCAACAGUGAAAGACGGUUUUGCUGUCACUUAUAGAUGGAUCCGCGCCGCAUUAGCUAGUUGGUAAGGUAACGGCUUACCAAGGCAACGAUGCGUAGCCGACCUGAGAGGGUGAUCGGCCACACUGGAACUGAGACACGGUCCAGACUCCUACGGGAGGCAGCAGUAGGGAAUCUUCCGCAAUGGGCGAAAGCCUGACGGAGCAACGCCGCGUGAGUGAAGAAGGUCUUCGGAUCGUAAAACUCUGUUAUUAGGGAAGAACAAAUGUGUAAGUAACUAUGCACGUCUUGACGGUACCUAAGCAGAAAGCCACGGCUAACUACGU
rnacentral:rRNA from 1 species